rnacentral:rRNA from 1 species
GGAGGAAUAUUGGGCAAUGGACGAAAGUCUGACCCAGCAACGCCGCGUGGAGGAAGACGGCCUUCGGGUUGUAAACUCCUUUUUGGGGGGAAAAGAAAGGAUGGUACCCCCAGAAUAAGUCACGGCUAACUACGUGCCAGCAGCCGCGGUAAUACGUAGGUGACGAGCGUUAUCCGGAAUUAUUGGGCGUAAAGCGCACGCAGGUGGCUGUUCAAGUCUGGCGUGAAAUCUCUUGGCUUAACCAAGAGCG